UCCACACGGGCGUCAAACUCUACAAAUGCA
rnacentral:piRNA from 1 species